GGCAUUUCAGCGUCACUUCCUGACAGCGCCUCCGUAUUGUUCCCUGGGCCAGAGGCAGCGACAGCGAGGGGCCUCUGUCAUGUUUGGGCCACAGCCAGCAGUCCACCUUUUCUCCUGUAAGCACCUUCCUUUUCCAUCUGGGGAGGGAAGCUGAGAUGGCCCAUCAGUUUGACAGGCAGCCUUGUCCCUGGUCCCUUGGGGCUGCCUCGUGAUUCAUACCAGGAACUAAGAACCCAGUAGUUUCUCAGCCUCUGAAGUUGGGUGCCAGAGCAGGCCCAAUUGGUGUUGAAGACCUGGAGGGUUCCUGGAGUGCCACUGGUCCUCAGUUACCUUUGGGAGCCUGGAAGCAUGGAUUAAUAGCACCGAAGAAGAAGCAGCAGGGGUGACAAGAAAGAGAAGAGAUGCUUAAAAGUCCUUCUAAGUCACGGACCUCAUGCAGAACAUUCCCAUUCAAGGGUCUAAAUGCACACAGAGUGUUGACCCUAUCUUCAUGAAGACACACCAUGGCUACAGUAGACAGCACCUCACUCUGUAAUCUGUUCAUCGAUCUCCCUGUAGAGCCCUAUCUGGGUGUGGGUGUGGCUAUGCACUGUUUCUCCAUCCAGACACACAGACAAAUUUUCUCAUACCAGUCAUCAGAGAGGACAGGAACCCAGCUCCUGCAACAGCCUGAGGUAGUCUGCUGUUGAACCCAAGAUUGACUCAAGGGAAUUUAAAUAGGAGCUCUUUCUACGAUGACCUCCAGGAAGAAGCUGAAAGGACACCUCUCCCCCCUUUUUGGUGGAAAUUAAG
rnacentral:lncRNA from 1 species